rnacentral:lncRNA from 1 species
UGUGGAAUCCUGUCAUGACAAAUAUUUUGGACACAGUUUCAUAUAAUGAAAACCUUGAUACAAAGUAAUUAAAUCAAUUCAUGACAAAAAUCUUGGACGCAGUUUUAUAUAAUGAAAACCUCGAUACAAAGUAACUAAAUCAAUCUGCAGAGGUCUUACUUAUCAUUAAAGAUGUAGGUGGGGUGGGGGUUCCUGAACCCUUUCUCCCAAACUUAUACACCAUGUGACAGUAUCUGAACAGUGAAACUUUACAAAAAUCCAGAAAACUGAAGUGAGAUUAAGACAAUGAUUGCAUCAAUUGAGAAGAGAGGUUAUUGUGAGAGGUUAAAACAAUGGAGAAAUGAGAAUGUGAAGUAAGAGAGGAAAUGAUUCCUUUAGCAGAAGGCUGACACUGCCUGAAGAUGUCUUGUGAGAAAUUACUAAUUCUUUCUGGGCUUGUGAUUCAUAAAUGAAAAAUGAACAUCUGAAUGAAUUUGAAUAGAAGG